rnacentral:rRNA from 1 species
AGUGAACGCUGGCGGCAGGCCUAACACAUGCAAGUCGAACGGCAGCACGGCAGUAGCAAUACUGUGGGUGGCGAGUGGCGGACGGGUGAGGAAUACAUCGGGAUCUACCCUGUUGUGGGGGAUAACGUAGGGAAACUUACGCUAAUACCGCAUAAGAACUGAGGUUGAAAGCGGCGGACCGCAAGGCGUCGCGCGAUUGGAUGAACCGAUGUCCGAUUAGCUAGUUGGCGGGGUAAAGGCCCACCAAGGCGACGAUCGGUAGCUGGUCUGAGAGGACGACCAGCCACACUGGAACUGAGACACGGUCCAGACUCCUACGGGAGGCAGCAGUGGGGAAUAUUGGACAAUGGGCGCAAGCCUGAUCCAGCCAUGCCGCGUGGGUGAAGAAGGCCUCGGUUGUAAGCCUUUGUCGGAAGAAAGACAUCGUAUACCGGUGUUCGUGACGGUACCGGAA